UGACAAAUCUAAUCCAGACAUGUAAUUGAGAGCCUUAUACUUAUACGUGCUAGCUCUAUAUUUUGUUAAAAACUCAAUUUCUUCUUCAAUGUCUUCAUAAAAAUAAAAAGUGUCAAAGCUUUUGUGAAGUGAUAUGGGAAUCAUGUAUUGUGAGGACAUACUUACAAUUGUGCUACCAUAGAAAUCUCCUUCUUCCUUUCCAAAGGAGAGAUUAUGUAAGCAGUGGGGAAUGGACCCAGACAAAAAGUUUCUUGAGAGAUCUAAUAGGCUGAUGUAUUUUUGCUGACACAACCAAUUUGGAAUGAAGCCACUUAAAUGAUUUUCUCCUAAUAAAAGAACUCUCAAGUCAUUUUGAAACUCACCAGUGUUAUUAGGAA
rnacentral:misc_RNA from 1 species